rfam:Larimichthys crocea isolate SSNF unplaced genomic scaffold scaffold1065, whole genome shotgun sequence.
CAGAUCACCUCAAAUGGAGACACUGAUGAUUGCUAUGUUCAUAAGUGCUUCUCUUUGGGGUUGUCUUG